UAAAUGAAAGCCAAAGUUAGAGGCGUCUAUCUGUUAAUUAGAAAAUUGUAAAGUAUUUUACUCAUUUAA
rnacentral:tRNA from 1 species